GCUGCUAGAGAAGAUGUGCUUAGAUUGACAGAGAUAAACAUGACUUCCCCCUGGAAGGGAGUCCAGGAUAGUGACAGGACUAGAAAGAGCUACCUGAGGAUCAAAUGAAGAAAUGGGGGUGUUUGGACUGGAGAGAAAUGGUGGGGAGACACGGUCACUGACUUCGAAAGCCCAGAGGCCUGGUAUCUGGGAAAAUGUGUUUUAAACCUAAUGAUGGCAUUCCCAAGCCAGUGGUGGUUGUCUCUGGUGGACACAGGGGACAAAUCACGGAACAUGGUGAAUCCAAAGUACCCAGUUAUACUAAGGUCUCAUCAGCUGAAGAGUCAUCCAUCAGGGAAACCCCAGAGCUGGUCUCCAGGUCCUCCUGAGUGGAGGGCUGUAAGUAGCACACCCUGUCUCACCAAUACGUUGUAAUUUAAGAAAAUAAGGCUGACCUCUGGGGAUUGAACUGUGAAACCACUGCAAACCAAGCCACCAUGAAAAUGAAAUGCUGCCAUCAUGGGAUGAAAGAGCUCUGCAAAUAGGAGAGCACAAUGUGGGAGCACUUGGGGAGAUACCUAAGUGAGAAGGUGCCACAUAGAAGUCUUAAAAUGAAUUGUUGAAAGCCAAUUACUGUAUCUUGUGGGUGAUAGCCAAAGGAUAAUAUGUCACAACAACUUAUCCACACUGAGGCACUGGCUCAUGGAGCACUUCUCAAUACCAAACAGAAAUAGAUGGUAUUUACAGAAUAAGGUUUCUAAAAAGACAUCCUGCUCUUAAAUAGGAUGAAAUUUGCACAGAUAGAAAAAGGAGGGAUCGGCCGGGUUCAGUGGCUCAGGCCUGUAAUCCCAGCACUUUGGGAGGCUGAGGCGGGUGGAUCACUUGAGGUCAGGAAUCCAAGACCAGCCUGGCCAACAUGGCAAAAACCCCGUCUCUACCAAAAAUACAAAAAUUAGCCAGGCAUGGUGGCCCAUGCCUGUAAUCCCAGCUACUUGGGAGGCAGAGGCAGGAGAAUCGUUUGAGCCCCAGAGGUGGAGGUUGCAGUGAGUCACGAUCACACCACUGCAGUCAAACUGGGUAACAGAGUGAGACUGCAUCUCAAAAAAAAAAAAAAAGGAAAAAUAAAAAAAAGAAAACGGAGGGAUCUGGUCGUUUAGUGCAGACUCUAGCAGGAGGUACACCAUGACCACAUUGUAAUUGGACUAAAGGGGAUUACUCCUAAUUAGCAGAUCUAAGAGCUUACAAGACUUUUUGAAUAGGAAAGGAUGUGCUUCACAUUCCAAAGUUACUUCAUUAGAAAAAGCAGGGUUGCCCACAAAGGGGAAGUUUAAACCAAGCUUGUUUACAUGUUGCAUGGCAACCUGGGAUGGGACAACUAUUCCAUGUACCUACUGCUGUCUAAUAAAUUACUACCAAAAUUAAUGGGUUAAUAUAACAAUUUUAUCUUUCUUGAUUCUGCGGGUUGACUGGACUCAGCUGAAUGGUUCUCACUUGGGGUCUCCAUGUGUGACAGGCAGAGAGUGGCUGGGGCUGCAGCCAUCUGAAGGCCCAACAUGUCUGGACGCCCAACAUGGCUCAUCCCCUGGCUGCCAAUGGUGGAUGUGGACGGAUUUGGAAAGGGAAAGUAUGGACAGCAAGAGAUGCAAGAGAACCAGGCAGAAGCUUUCACGGAUUCUUACGGCCUAACUCCAGAAGACCCAUAAGGUUGCCGUUUCUAUUGAUGAAGGCCACCCUUCUGUGUGGGAGGUAGCAGGUUGCAUGCCAUGCAUAUAAUGAUGAAAUGAUACCGCACAUGCCUUUGGGAAGCUACAGCUAAUCAGGAAGGCAGACAAGUGAUUACAUACCUGGAAUUAACUAAGUGGGAUGCUCUGAUCAGCAACUGUCCAGGCCAUGAUGCAGGCACGAGAGAAAAAAAGUAGUUUAGAGGAGUAGGGGAUCAAAGUGGGCUUCAUAGAGGAAGUGACCGCUUGGAUAAAGGAAGAAAGAAGUAGUUGUUUGCUCUGGACAGUGAGUGUGUGUGCUUGUGUAUGUGCAUGCAUGUGAGUGUGUGCAUGGGUGUGUGUGUAUAUGCGUGUAGCAUAGAGGCAUUUGAAAAUUCAAGAAUGAGAAAACACAACGAGACGAAAUAAAUAAUAUGAUACAUUCUGAUAACUAAAAGAUCCAAUACAGCAGAAAAGCCACACACUGGAACUAUAAUUGCACAGGAUACCACUAUAAAUCAUCUAAAAGGAUUUCACUAACAGGUAAGCUUAGAAACAAAAUUAAACAUUUUGCA
rnacentral:lncRNA from 1 species